rnacentral:rRNA from 1 species
UACGUAGGGUGCGAGCGUUAAUCGGAAUCACUGGGCGUAAAGGGUGCGUAGGUGGCUUGGUAAGCGUGUGGUAAAAGUCCGGGGCUCAACCCCGGAUCUGCCGUGCGAACUGCUGAGCUCGAGCAAUGUAGAGGCAGGUGGAAUUUCGGGUGUAGCGGUGGAAUGCGUAGAGAUCCGAAAGAACACCAGUGGCGAAGGCGGCCUGCUGGGCAUUUGCUGACACCGAGGCACGACGGCGUGGGGAGCAAACAGG